GGCCACCGCUCCUCCGGAUUUGCCGCCUCCAGGAAGUCCGGUCCUUUCCGGGCUAGGGGACCGCCCCCUUCCGGCGGCGCUGACCAAUCCGGAGCCGAGGACCCAGGGGCCGCCCCCCGCGCUCUGGCCCCGCCCCCCAGCGAUCCGGCCUCCCGGGCCCCGCCUCCGCUGCACUCGGGGCGCGGAGGGUCCUGCGGUGGUGCACGGGCUUCUGGUUUGGAAACCUGGGAGGAUGGUGGCACCUGGGAUGGCUUGCGGCUGACUUGUCCUUGAAGGCGCCCUGAAGCGGGCCGAGCUGCCCUGCGGACCCCCGGCCUACCACCGGGCAAGGUACCUCCGAAGUCACCGUCGCUAGAGGGGGCUGAGCAUCCUACCAGCUUCUAUGGAGCACACAUGAACAAGAGCUUAAACCCGGGAGGCAAGAGAGCCAGCAGAGCUGGAGGUUGCCUGAAGGAGCAGGAAGAUGUGUGAGCGUCAGGUGUCUGAGGUAAAACCAGCCGAUACUGGGAACAGAAGAGGAAGCUCCCCCAACCAGUGUAUCCUGUGACGGAGUGGGAUGCAGGAAGGGACAGGGCACACAGGGCAGGAGGCCAUGCCAAGGGCACAGCUCCCCGCUGCGGGCGCACUUGGUGGCCUCGGACCCUGGUGCAGCACAUCGGUGCUCAUACGAGGAGCCAUAACGAGGAGGUGGGGUUCUGGCUUCUGAAACUGGCAGUACGAAUCCCAUCAUCUUAGAAAGAUCCUUAAAAUGGCUGGACACGUUCCAAGGGUUAAAGAGGAAAACUGGAGCACGGAUGCUCAUGGGGACAUUUUCUCUUCAGAGCCGUGAUAGCAGGGCCAUCACAUCACUGCCUUUAGGAAACGUACACACAUACGGGGGUCCCAGCAUGGCUGCUAACCCAGGGCACCCAGUGGUGGCGGCUUAGACGGAAACAGGGCAGGGAGCACCCUACCCCCCGGGCCCGGUGCCACCCUGCCUCCUCCCACCCUCCCGAGCAGAUGCUCGCCUGGAGGACCUCACCUCAUCGUGUCACUGAGGCCCUUCUGCACAGAGAAGACCUGCUGCUUGCCGACGGCACGGGACGUCUGGAAGAGCUGACGCACCACGGCAUCGGAGGCCUUCGCUUCCAGGCCCAGCUGGCUUCCGUGUGCACAGGCUUUGGCUAAAGACAGCUGCGGACAGACACGCACGAGCACACGGAGACCCUUGGAACACUUACUGGAAUGUUACUAUUCUCAUGUCUCCUUGGAGCUUCUGAGGGAACUGCACUGUUCGCAGUUCUGUCUCUCUAAGCUCGCUGACUGCCCUGGACAUAAACGUUACUGUGUUGUGACAGUCAGGCUGGGCCACCUCCCGCUCUGUGGUUUCUUCCCUCACUUUUAGGGCAGAUAACUCUCAAACACGCCCUUGGUGGGGCGACAAGAGUGAGUUUGCACCUGCCUGGCAAAGAGGGGCUGCCUUUGUCUUUUUUUUUUUUUUUUUUUUGCCUUUGUCUUAAACAAUGAUUCUUUAUAGCUGCCACAGGACAGCGUCCAGAGACCACUGCCAGCAAAUGCCUUGUGCCCUGGUUCUAACGCUGGGUGACCUGCUGAGCCGGUCAAAUGACGAGAGCCAGGAAAUGUUCCACACACCCAUGUGCUCCCAGGUGCCCCAGCUACCGGCACCCUCAGGGAGCAACAGGAGGGCUAACAGCAAUGUGGUGCAUGGGCAGCCGGGCUGGCUUUGGGCAGGGGGCCUGGAGGCGCCAGGGUAAAGGGCAGAGAUGAAGCACCCCCAGGCCGCCCUCCCUGCACACCCCACAGCUACACUCCUGUAAGCUCUGGCGCCAGCCCUGAGCCACUGCUACUGCCUAUGAGUGGGAUCUUGCCACCAUGGUCCCCACGGGAAGAGGUAGAAGGAGAAAGGCCAGCUCCUGCCUUACCUGUGCUUCCCAGCAGCCUUUGGCAGCGUAGUCUCGGAGUUUCCGGAAGCUGUAGAGGCAUCGCCCAGGAUCUGACAUCUGUCAGUGCAAGAGAGUCAUCAUGCUUUUAUAUAGUUGUGUCUCUGGAAAAACUCAGAACCAACCCAUCAAUUCUUAAAUGUUCCUCCCAACAUCCCCAGGGGGUCCACAGCUCAGCCUUCUUCCCAGCCCCUUACAUCCAAAUGACGGAGGUUGCUGGGGGCAGCCAUUGGGAACGGCUCCUGCACAGAGGCUCCUGGGGCUCCAGGAGCAGCACAAGGGUCUCCCAUAUGGACGGAACCUUGCCAAAGGGCCCAUUUGGAGAUGGCACCUCUGGCCAACACAAAUCCUCUUCUCCCCAGACCCCGGCCCACUCACGUCCGUCCUCCUGUCUCGUUCCCAGAGGAGGUAUGAGCUGACCAGACAUCCCUGAUUAGCAGACUCUUCAAACAGGUCCUGGGCCUGCUGCUUCCGCUCUUCAUCCUACAACAGACCCCAGACAGUGGCUUCUUUCACCCCGCUUUCUGCAGAACACCAGACUCUACUGGCCACUACCGUCUCUCCUCGGACCUCUUGGAAUCACAUUCGUGGGCUUUUCUCCUGACAGAGUUAACUAAGUCGGGAGUGGAGGGAUGCCUGGGUGGUUCAGUGGCUAAGCGUCUGCCUUCAGCCCAGGGGGUGAUCCUGGAGUCCCAGGAUGGAGUCGCACAUUGGGUUCCCUGCAUGGAGCCUGCUUCUCCCUCUGCCUGUG